AGCGAACGCUAGCGGCAGGCUUAACACAUGCAAGUCGAACGCCCCGCAAGGGGAGAGGCAGACGGGUGAGUAACACGUGGGAACGUACCCUUUGGUUCGGAAUAACUUGGGGAAACUCAAGCUAAUACCGGAUAAGCCCUUAUGGGGAAAGGUUUACUGCCGAAGGAUCGGCCCGCGUCUGAUUAGCUAGUUGGUGAGGUAAGAGCUCACCAAGGCGACGAUCAGUAGCUGGUCUGGGAGGAUGAUCAGCCACACUGGGACUGAGACACGGCCCAGACUCCUACGGGAGGCAGCAGUGGGGAAUAUUGGACAAUGGGGGCAACCCUGAUCCAGCCAUGCCGCGUGAGUGAUGAAGGCCUUAGGGUUGUAAAGCUCUUUUACCCGGGACGAUAAUGACUGUACCGGGAGAAUAAGCCCCGGCUAACUUCGUGCCAGCAGCCGCAGUAA
rnacentral:rRNA from 1 species